UACGAGAGGCCCAAACGUUAUUCGGAAUUACUGGGCUUAAAGAGUUCGUAGGCGGUUCGGUAAGUGAGGUGUGAAAGCCCUCGGCUCAACCGAGGAAUUGCGCUUCAAACUGCCGGGCUCGAGGGAGAUAGAGGUGAGCGGAACUGAUGGUGGAGCGGUGAAAUGCGUUGAUAUCAUCAGGAACACCAGAGGCGAAGGCGGCUCACUGGGUCUCUUCUGACGCUGAGGAACGAAAGCUAGGGGAGCAAACGGG
rnacentral:rRNA from 1 species